rnacentral:snRNA from 1 species
GGAUGUGAGGACAAUCUGUCACCCCACUGACAGCUAGGCGGGUGUCCCCGUCCCCCCUCACUGCUCCAUGUGCGUCGCUCCCAGAGCUGCACGCUUGGUGGAAGAGGGUGGCCUUCCUGAAUCGGUUGAGGGUAUACGAGUAGCUGCGCUCCUCUGCUAGAACCCACAGACAGGCUCUCAGGGAAGUAGAGAUGGUAGAAGAUACUUCUGUAGGUGGUCCUUUACGUUUUAAAAAUGUCCACCUAC